UGAGGAAUAUUGGUCAAUGGGCGAGAGCCUGAACCAGCCAAGUAGCGUGCAGGAUGACGGCCCUAUGGGUUGUAAACUGCUUUUAUAUGGGAAUAAAGUGAGGGACGUGUCCCUUAUUGCAUGUACCAUAUGAAUAAGGACCGGCUAAUUCCGUGCCAGCAGCCGCGGUAAUACGGAAGGUCCAGGCGUUAUCCGGAUUUAUUGGGUUUAAAGGGAGCGUAGGCUGUUUGUUAAGCGUGUUGUGAAAUGUAAGAGCUCAACUUUUAGAUUGCAGCGCGAACUGGCAGAUUUGAGUGCGCACAACGUAGGCGGAAUUCAUGGUGUAGCGGUGAAAUGCUUAGAUAUCAUGACGAACUCCGAUUGCGAAGGCAGCUUACGGGAGCGCAACUGACGCUAAAGCUCGAAGGUGCGGGUAUCGAACAGG
rnacentral:rRNA from 1 species